GACGAACGCUGGCGGCGUGCUUAACACAUGCAAGUCGAACGGAAAGGCCUUUUCGGAGGUACUCGAGUGGCGAACGGGUGAGUAACACGUGGGUGAUCUGCCCUGCACUCUGGGAUAAGCCUGGGAAACUGGGUCUAAUACCGGAUAGGACCGCACUUUAGUGUGUGUGGUGGAAAGUUUUUUCGGUGUAGGAUGAGCCCGCGGCCUAUCAGCUUGUUGGUGGGGUAAUGGCCUACCAAGGCGGCGACGGGUAGCCGGACUGAGAGGUUGGUCGGCCACAUUGGGACUGAGAUACGGCCCAGACUCCUACGGGAGGCAGCAGUGGGGAAUAUUGCACAAUGGGCGCAAGCCUGAUGCAGCGACGCCGCGUUGGGGAUGACGGCCUUCGGGUUGUAAACUCCUUUCGCCAGGGACGAAGCGUUUUGUGACGGUACCUGGAGAAGAAGCACCGGCUAACUACGUG
rnacentral:rRNA from 1 species